CGAGCAUUUACAUACCUGGUUGUGGUCGGACCAAAUUGUUAAAUUAUCUAAAUCAAUUGGUCCCCUUCAACCAGUUAUGUUUCUCCUCCUUA
rnacentral:pre_miRNA from 13 species